rnacentral:sRNA from 1 species
GCCGAGUGUAAAGCAUUGCUUGAGGUUGCCCAGGUAGUUUCGCCUUACACUUCUUGUCCCAGUGCAAUUAUUAGUAGAGCUCCCUUUCACUGUCAGAUUUCCGGUUGGGGAUAAAUUGCAUUGUCGUUUUGGUUUGAGAUAGGAAGAUGAGGGGAGGAAGGAGGUGAGGCGGUAAGGGGCGUUCUCUCUCUUGGGUCCCGCGCCCAACUUCCGCUGGCCCAAAGAAACUAUAAUUUUGAACCAACAGACCUCUGCUGGCAUCUGCGAUUGCAUUUUUCCUGUUUUAACAACGGCUGUGCUAAACGAAGUAGUAAAGCCCAAAGACUUACUUUUGAACUCGCUGUAAGACUGAGAAAUUACGUAGUCCUUCCUGAAACCACUAAGAGGAAAAAUGUCUGUGACACUGCAUACAGAUGUAGGUGAUAUUAAAAUUGAAGUCUUCUGUGAGAGGACACCCAAAACAUGUGAGGAACUGGAAGAGGAGGCAACAGUAUCUGGGGCAAGAAGUUUGAGGAUGAAUACAGUGAAUAUCUUAAGCACAAUGUUAGAGGUGUUGUAUCUAUGGCUAAUAAUGGCCCGAACACCAAUGGAUCUCAGUUCUUCAUCACCUAUGGCAAACAGCCACAUUUGGACAUGAAAUACACCGUAUUUGGAAAGGUAAUAGAUGGUCUGGAAACUCUAGAUGAGCUGGAGAAGUUGCCAGUAAAUGAGAAGACAUACCGACCUCUUAAUGAUGUACACAUUAAGGACAUAACUAUUCAUGCCAACCCAUUUGCUCAGUAGCUAUGAUAGACCUGGACAAAUAACUUGACAAAUUGCUGGAACACACUUAUUGUGGUUUACCCGGUUUUAAUUAUGUCAGAGAUUGCAUCAUCCUUCUGCUCUUUUACAACUAUGAUCUUCUAUGAAAUGGUGGUACCAAGGGGCACCCAACAGCUUUUAUCCCCAUUCUUGGAGCAUAUUCUUUAUUAAAACGAUUAUCCAACAUAUUUCUUUAAUUUUAAUGCAAAAAAUACAUCAUUUAAUUUUUGUUACAUAUAAACAUUCAUUUUUAAAUGCUGAGCCUCAAGUGCAGGCAUUUUUGAGUGGCCUGAUUACAUAUUCCUCCCACAGCAAGUCCGUAUCCUGGAAGUGUUAUUUUAUAAUAAAAUUAAAAAUGUUUUAAAGAAUUAAAUCGUAGGACAAAUUAAUUAAAAUAUUGUGUAAAAUUACCUUCAGGCUA